UACGUAGGGUGCGAGCGUUAAUCGGAAUUACUGGGCGUAAAGCGUGCGCAGGCGGUUUUGUAAGCCAGAUGUGAAAUCCCCGGGCUCAACCUGGGAAUGGCAUUUGGGACUGCAAGGCUGGAGUACGGCAGAGGAGACUGGAAUUCCUGGUGUAGCAGUGAAAUGCGUAGAUAUCAGGAGGAAUACCGAUGGCGAAGGCAGGUCUCUGGGCUGAUACUGACGCUCAUGCACGAAAGGCGUGGGGAGCAAACAGG
rnacentral:rRNA from 1 species